UUUCCGUAGGUGAACCUGCGGAAGGAUCAUUAUUGGAUUUUGAAACUUCAGGCUGCUGCUGGCUCUCCUCGGAGGGCAUGUGCACGCUUGUUGUCCAUUAUUUCUCCCACUGUGCACAAAUUGUAGACCUUUCAGUAGGCCUAUGUUGUUUUUCACAAUCUCUGAAUGUAAUAGAAUGGUUUUGAAUCUUGGGAAAUACAAUAAAACUUUCAACAACGGAUCUCUUGGUUCCG
rnacentral:misc_RNA from 1 species